GAGUUUGAUCAUGGCUCAGAUUGAACGCUGGCGGCAGGCCUAACACAUGCCAAGUCGGGCGGUAGAGAGAAGCUUGCUUCUCUUGAGAGCGGCGGACGGGUGAGUAAUGCCUAGGAAUCUGUCUGGUAGUGGGGGAUAACGCUCGGAAACGGACGCUAAUACCGCAUACGUCCUACGGGAGAAAGCAGGGGACCUUCGGGCCUUGCGCUAUCAGAUGAGCCUAGGUCGGAUUAGCUAGUUGGUGAGGUAAAUGGCUCACCAAGGCGACGAUCCGUAACUGGUCUGAGAGGAUGAUCAGUCACACUGGAACUGAGACACGGUCCAGACUCCUACGGGAGGCAGCAGUGGGGAAUAUUGGACAAUGGGCGAAAGCCUGAUCCAGCCAUGCCGCGUGUGUGAAGAAGGGUCUUCGGAUUGUAAAGCACUUUAAGUUGGGAGGAAGGGCAGUAAAUUAAUACUUUGCUGUUUUGACGUUUACCGACAGAAUAAGCACCGGCUAAACUCUGUGCCAG
rnacentral:rRNA from 1 species